rnacentral:rRNA from 1 species
ACGAGGGGGGCGAGCGUUGUUCGGAAUUAUUGGGCGUAAAGGGUGCGUAGGCGGUUUGGUAAGUCUGAUGUGAAAUCUAUGGGCUCAACUCAUAGUCUGCAUCGGAAACUGCCGGGCUUGAGUGUGGGAGAGGUGAGUGGAAUUCCUGGUGUAGCGGUGAAAUUCGUAGAUAUGCGGAGGAACACCGGUGGCGAAGGCGGCCAUCUGGACGACGACUGACGCUGAGACGCGAAAGCGUGGGGAGCAAACAGGA